rnacentral:rRNA from 1 species
CUACGUGCCAGCAGCCGCGGUAAUACGUAGGGCGCGAGCGUUGUCCGGAAUUAUUGGGCGUAAAGAGCUUGUAGGCGGUUUGUCGCGUCUGCUGUGAAAGGCCGGGGCUUAACUCCGUGUAUUGCAGUGGGUACGGGCAGACUAGAGUGCAGUAGGGGAGACUGGAAUUCCUGGUGUAGCGGUGGAAUGCGCAGAUAUCAGGAGGAACACCGAUGGCGAAGGCAGGUCUCUGGGCUGUAACUGACGCUGAGAAGCGAAGGCAUGGGGAGCGAACAGGAUUAGAUACCCUGGUAGUCCAUGCCGUAAACGUUGGGCACUAGGUGUGGGGGACAUUCCACGUUUUCCGCGCCGUAGCUAACGCAUUAAGUGCCCCGCCUGGGGAGUACGGCCGCAAGGCUAAAACUCAAAGAAAUUGACGGGGGCCCGCACAAGCGGCGGAGCAUGCGGAUUAAUUCGAAGCAACGCGAAGAACCUUACCAGGUCUUGACAUCCCUCUGACCGCUCUAGAGAUAGAGCUUUC